rnacentral:rRNA from 1 species
AUUGAACGCUGGCGGCAUGUUUUACACAUGCAAGUCGAACGGUAACAGCACUUCGGUGGCUGACGAGUGGCGAACGGGUGAGUAAUACAUCGGAACGUGCCUAGUAGUGGGGGAUAACUACUCGAAAGAGUAGCUAAUACCGCAUGAGAUCUAAGGAUGAAAGCAGGGGACCUUCGGGCCUUGCGCUACUAGAGCGGCUGAUGGCAGAUUAGGUAGUUGGUGGGAUAAAAGCUUACCAAGCCGACGAUCUGUAGCUGGUCUGAGAGGACGACCAGCCACACUGGCACUGAGCCACGGCCCAGACUCCUACGGGAGGCAGCGGUGGGGAAUUUUGGACAAAGGGCGCAAGCCUGAUCCAGCAAUGCCGCGUGCAGGAUGAAGGCCUUCGGGUUGUAAACUGCUUUUGUACGGAACGAAAAGCCCUCUUCUAAUACAGGAGGGUCAUGACGGUACCGUAAGAAUAAGCACCGGCUAACUACGUG